CUUAGGCUUGUUGUAGUGAACCACUGUAGAAUUUUAAACAUGAAGCAAAAAUUACAUGGACAUACUUGUUUUUGCAGCACUAAUCUCCUCAAUGGAAUUUUAAGUUCUGUGCUCCUUCUUGGUUCCUCAGGCAAACGAAGUCCUCCAGAACUUUCUGCUGUCACAGGUGGCAAUAGAGAAAUCCAUCCUGCAGGCAGAUAAAGCCCUCAGUGAUGGGGAGAAGGCUGUAGCAGAGGAGCAGGCCAGGAGGGAGACAGCUGAGAGGGAACAGGAGCUGCUGAAACACAAACUGCAGGAGCUGGAGCAGCAGACGGAAGCACGACAGAGGAGUCUCCAGGAAAACAUAGCCCAGCUGACAGAGAAGCUGGCGAGGAGAAGAGAAAAGCUACUGAGAGAGCACAAUAUGACGUUGGAGCAUAAGCUGAAGGUCCAGGAAGCUCUGCUUAAAGAAGGAUUUAGAAAGAAAUCUGAGGAGAUGAAUGCAGAGAUAAAUCGUUUGAAAAAUAUGAUUGAUAAUACUAAAGAUGAUGAUACUCCCUGGCUGGCAGUAGCCUUGGACAAAUUUGGCAAAAAGAUCUCUUCACUAUUGUGCGCUCCAGUCAAACUUCUUGGUCAUAUUGUGAGUGGUGUGAGCUCCCUAUUUAAAAUGAAGUAGCUCUUCUUUUAAAGAAAUUAUAGAUACACAAUAUAUGUACAUGCUCUGGCCUAUGUUUGGUGUGAAUGCUUUUCACUUGCAUUCAGCAAAUCUUUAAAUAUAAAAAGUGGUUACUAGAAAAUAUCAAUGCCUGGCCCACAUUAGAUAGAAUAAAUGCACUUUGAUAUAGCAUGUUCACUUUUAGGAAAUAUAUGUGUGCAAAAUCAUAUAUAUGUAUAUAUACAUACAUACAUACAAGAGGCCCGUUGAGGCAUCCCUUUUAAUGGCAAAAGAUUGGAAACUACUUAAAUGUCCAUCUAUAUAAACUGGUAAUAUACAUUUUCCAUGUACAUAUACUGGAAUACUAUGUAGCCAGUAAAAAAAUUGAUAGUGGAGGUUUAUAUGUAUAAAUAUAGAACAACCUUGAAGAUAUAUAGUAGAGUGAAAAAAAUGAGGUACAAAACAGUUUGUAUAAUCUGUUCACCAUAAAAAAUGCAAUUAUUAUGUGCACUCAUAUAUAUGUACACAUAGAACGCCUCUGGAAGAUUCAUUAGAAAGUGGUAUCAUUGGUUCCUUCUGGGGAGAACAGCUUGGCAUUCGUGAUGGAAGGGACACACACUUUUCAUUAUAUCCUCUAUCUUCUCAAUUCUGUAAAGAAAGCUUGUAUUAUCAUUUCUCAAAUGACAAAGAAAACAUAAAGUAUAAUACUAAAAAUGAUAAUAAAUGGAAUGUGAAAUUGACUAUUAGAUGAUGAAAUUGCUCAUUGCUUCUAGAAAUGACAUCAGUCUGUUCAAUGAGUUGGAUCAGAAUACUAGAAAGCAUAAAAUUUGCAUCCUAAUCUUGUUUUCACUUUGGCUGUGUUUUUAAUCCCUUAUAUUUCUUCAAAAAGAAGGUAUAAACUUUCCUGUUACCCCUUGAAAUCUCAGCUAGAGGAGAAUGCAGCUGACAUAUUUUGAACUGUUAUUGCCUAUAGCCAUAAUGCUAAGCUCUUUCGCUAGACUCUUUAAUCCUUCAAAUAACAUUAAGAAGCAUCUACGCUUAUUGUCAACAUUUUAAAGAUCUGAACGGAGAGGCUUAGCAAGUUAAACGAACUUGCCUAAAGUUACAGACAGCAAGUAGCAGAGGAAAACAGCAGCACAUUUUAGAGGCAGUAUUUCACAUUGGGAAGAGCAAUAUAGGAAAGCACCAGACAUCCUGGGUUUGUAGAACUGAACAUAGUUCUGACUGGCUGGAAUCUGGAGUGGGUAGAAGGAAGUAGCACGGGGCUAGAUACUGGAGGAAGACAGGUCGCUGUAAGGAGCUUAGGCUUGUUGUAGUGAACCACUGUAGAAUUUUAAACAUGAAGCAAAAAUUACAUGGACAUACUUGUUUUUGCAGCACUAAUCUCCUCAAUGGAAUUUUAAGUUCUGUGCUCCUUCUUGGUUCCUCAGGCAAACGAAGUCCUCCAGAACUUUCUGCUGUCACAGGUGGCAAUAGAGAAAUCCAUCCUGCAGGCAGAUAAAGCCCUCAGUGAUGGGGAGAAGGCUGUAGCAGAGGAGCAGGCCAGGAGGGAGACAGCUGAGAGGGAACAGGAGCUGCUGAAACACAAACUGCAGGAGCUGGAGCAGCAGACGGAAGCACGACAGAGGAGUCUCCAGGAAAACAUAGCCCAGCUGACAGAGAAGCUGGCGAGGAGAAGAGAAAAGCUACUGAGAGAGCACAAUAUGACGUUGGAGCAUAAGCUGAAGGUCCAGGAAGCUCUGCUUAAAGAAGGAUUUAGAAAGAAAUCUGAGGAGAUGAAUGCAGAGAUAAAUCGUUUGAAAAAUAUGAUUGAUAAUACUAAAGAUGAUGAUACUCCCUGGCUGGCAGUAGCCUUGGACAAAUUUGGCAAAAAGAUCUCUUCACUAUUGUGCGCUCCAGUCAAACUUCUUGGUCAUAUUGUGAGUGGUGUGAGCUCCCUAUUUAAAAUGAAGUAGCUCUUCUUUUAAAGAAAUUAUAGAUACACAAUAUAUGUACAUGCUCUGGCCUAUGUUUGGUGUGAAUGCUUUUCACUUGCAUUCAGCAAAUCUUUAAAUAUAAAAAGUGGUUACUAGAAAAUAUCAAUGCCUGGCCCACAUUAGAUAGAAUAAAUGCACUUUGAUAUAGCAUGUUCACUUUUAGGAAAUAUAUGUGUGCAAAAUCAUAUAUAUGUAUAUAUACAUACAUACAUACAAGAGGCCCGUUGAGGCAUCCCUUUUAAUGGCAAAAGAUUGGAAACUACUUAAAUGUCCAUCUAUAUAAACUGGUAAUAUACAUUUUCCAUGUACAUAUACUGGAAUACUAUGUAGCCAGUAAAAAAAUUGAUAGUGGAGGUUUAUAUGUAUAAAUAUAGAACAACCUUGAAGAUAUAUAGUAGAGUGAAAAAAAUGAGGUACAAAACAGUUUGUAUAAUCUGUUCACCAUAAAAAAUGCAAUUAUUAUGUGCACUCAUAUAUAUGUACACAUAGAACGCCUCUGGAAGAUUCAUUAGAAAGUGGUAUCAUUGGUUCCUUCUGGGGAGAACAGCUUGGCAUUCGUGAUGGAAGGGACACACACUUUUCAUUAUAUCCUCUAUCUUCUCAAUUCUGUAAAGAAAGCUUGUAUUAUCAUUUCUCAAAUGACAAAGAAAACAUAAAGUAUAAUACUAAAAAUGAUAAUAAAUGGAAUGUGAAAUUGACUAUUAGAUGAUGAAAUUGCUCAUUGCUUCUAGAAAUGACAUCAGUCUGUUCAAUGAGUUGGAUCAGAAUACUAGAAAGCAUAAAAUUUGCAUCCUAAUCUUGUUUUCACUUUGGCUGUGUUUUUAAUCCCUUAUAUUUCUUCAAAAAGAAGGUAUAAACUUUCCUGUUACCCCUUGAAAUCUCAGCUAGAGGAGACUUCACUUCCUCUCUUUGAGUUACACUUCUAAGGUAUUGGAAGAAAAUUACUAAACAUUAAGAAUAUGCACUGGUGAGAGGAAUCCCAUCAUUCUUGAAUGUUCAUUGAUUGACUCUCUGCUGCAGGCAAGGGCCAAAGAUGUGAUGUAUCAUUGAAGAACUGGAUGCCCUGAUAGUACUGGGGAUUAUAGACCCUGACGCAUGGAGGCCACCUGUUAGCAUUUAAACAUCAGAAGCCCAAGUACAUACCAUAGUGAUGAGAAUCAUGGUUUGUCUUAGCUGAGGCUGCUAUAACAAAAUUACCGUAGACUGGGUGGCUAAGACAAGAACGAUUAUUUUUCCCCGUUUCUGGAAGCUGUAAGUCCAAAAGCACGUGCCAGCACUGUUGUGUUGUUGGUAAGGGUCCUCUGGCAGCUUUACAGAUGGCAACUUUCUUACUGUGUCCUCACAUUUUUGGAAAAGGGAGGAGGCGGGUAGAGAACCUAAUGAUUCUUUGUUAUAAGGGCACUAAUCAGAUUCAUGAAGUCCCCAUACUCAUUACCUAAUUUCCUCCCCAAAGGCCCACUUCCAAGUACAUUGGAACAUUGGAAGUUAGGGUUUCCUCAAAUGAGUUUUGGAGAACACAAGCACUCAGUCUAUAAUGUGGUUGGAGUGGCAGCCAGCCAGACCUGAGCAGAGAAACCUCUGAAUAUGGCAAAUAGAACAGGGUGUCUGUAGAGUCAAAAGGGAGGGGAGGAAACAAUCAAAUGGAGACAAGGAUGUUUACCAGGAGGCUGAGAGGUAGCCUCAAUAAAAAAGACACAGUCCAUAGCCUUGAUCUAAACCAAUUUCCGAUCAUGAACCUAUCACCUGGAGGAGAGGGCAGGAUCCCAAGAGAAAAGACUCUGCAACUCUAGAACAAGGUUAAAUGAUAAUGAUUUCCCCAGUCCCCCUCCUAGGGGACCUCUGGAAAUUCACUUGUUACCUGUGUGCUGGGAAAUGGGAAUGGCCAAACGUUUCGGUGACUCUUGGAAUCAGGAUCCGAGUUUGCAGUGAUACUCAGAUCCUGAAAAGACUUCACAGUCUCCCUGUUAAAGCAGAGGCACACAGGAUCCUGGUAAUAAAUGCAGGCUUGGCUCAGGUGCCAUGCAACUAAUUUGGUCUCGUAUUUGUUUUCAAAUAAAAGUAAAGUUCAUCUGAGGACAGAAACCGUUACAUAUUUUUCUGUACAUCUUCAUAGAGUAUGUUUAGGCACAGAGUGUACUACAUAAGAAUCUGCUGGAAAAACAAAAGACUGACACAUGUGUGACUUAUCAUGCCAGAUUUCUAGGAACACUCUAAGCGUCUUUGGUAAUAGAUAGUUCGGAUUUUACACACUAGAUUAAGGUCUCUAAGGUGACCCUUUAAACCUUUAAGGUCUUAAAGGCUAGCAGAGCAAAAGAAACUUUUCUGGUGUAGUCUUCUCAGUGACUUCGUGUAUCACAGUCUCUGUGCCUCUGCAAGGAUGUUAACACGUCUUCACUGGAGCUUUUCUUUUUUUUUUUUUGCGGUACACGGGCCUCUCACUGUUGUGGCCUCUCCCGUUACGGAGCACAGGCUCCAGACGCGCAGGCUCAGGGGCCAUGGCUCACGGGCCCAGCCGCUCCGCGGCAUGUGGGAUCCUCCUGGACCGGGGCACAAACCCGUGUCCCCUGCAUCGGCAGGCAGACUCUCAACCACUGCUCCACCAGGGAAGCCCCUUCACUGGAGCUUUAAAUGACUCUAUCCAGUUGUGGCUUCAAGUGUUCAGAAGGAAGAAUGGCUUUGACUUUUAAGGAAGAAACCAUAUAGUAAUGAAUAGGUGGCCAAUAAAUGGUAGGCUUUAAUGAAAAAGCAAACUGUUCUAUAGAAAUAUUGUGUAUCUGUUCUCAUUGAGAGCUUGAAUUAAGCAGAUGUUCUAAUCCCUUAGACUAGAGACACCCCGAAUUGAAGAACAAAAGGAAGUCUUGACUUUUUUAGAUUUGACAUAUAAGGGACAUCAUACAGUACUUGUCUUUCUCUGUCUGACUUAUCUCACUUAGCAUAAUGGGCUCAAGGUCCAUCCAUGUUGUCGCAAUGGCAGAACAUCCUCCUUCCCUGUGGCUGAAUAAUUUUCCAUUGUGUACAUGUACCACUUCUUUUUUAUCCAUUCAUCUGUUGAUUAGUGUUUAGGUUGUUUUCAUAUCUCGGCUAUUGUGAAUAACAGUGCAAUAAACAUGAGAGUACAGAUA